CCAGCAACUCAAGCUCCAUCAGACCAGCAACUAAAGCUCCAUCAAGCCAGCAACUCAAACUACUUGAGACCAGCAACUCAAACUCCAUCAGAUGAGCAACUUAAACUCCAUCAGACCAGCAACUCAAAGCGUUUAUUCUUCAGGCUCGUUGACUUUGUUGUUUCAGCUUCGCCUGUAAGUCAAGAAAAAUAAAAAAGGGCUGAAGCUCAUUGGUUUAGACCCCAGUUACUCAUCCUUGCCCCCUUCUCCUUUUAAUGACAGCAGUUCCACUAGAUCCAAUAUCUGAGCCGCAAGUGAAGGCCAUUAGUUGGAUUCGUUGAGACGCAUGCCAUUGGAAGUGUUUUAUAGGUAGUUGAGUGCUCAUAUCAAUAACAACCUCACAGAACCAAGUACUUAUAGUAUAUAUUUUUUAAUGUUUAAUGUUUGUUAAAGCCACUUUUUUGUUUACUUUUUUCUCAAGUGUCGCAAAAAAUUGUGAUGCGCUAAUGUUCCUUUGUUAGAAAUAAAUAUGUUUAAAAUAGAAACAUUGUUAGAUGGAAAGUUGUUUUUUUUUUUUUUUUUUUUUUUUUU